GACCCCGUAGCUCAAUUGGGAGAGCAACGGACUUCUAAUCCGUAGGUUGCAGGUUCGAUUCCUGCCGGGGUCG
rnacentral:tRNA from 1 species